rnacentral:rRNA from 1 species
CUACGGGUGCUCCAGUGAGGAAUAUUGGACAAUGGAGGCAACUCUGAUCCAGCCAUGCCGCGUGCAGGAAGACGGCCCUAUGGGUUGUAAACCGCUUUUAUACAGGAAGAAUGUUAUCUACGUGUAGAUAUUUGACGGUACUGUACGAAUAAGGAUCGGCUAACUCCGUGCCAGCAGCCGCGGUAAUACGGAGGAUCCAAGCGUUAUCCGGAAUCAUUGGGUUUAAAGGGUCCGCAGGCGGUUCAUUAAGUCAGAGGUGAAAUCCUACCGCUCAACGGUAGCAUUGCCUUUGAUACUGAUGGACUUGAGUUAUAGUGAAGUAGUUAGAAUGUGUAGUGUAGCGGUGAAAUGCAUAGACAUUACACAGAAUACCGAUUGCGAAAGCAGAUUACUAACUGUAUACUGACGCUGAGGGACGAAAGCGUGGGUAGCGAACAGGAUUAGAUACCCCCGUAGUC